UAACAGUCCUGUGCCGAUGAUGUCGAUA
rnacentral:sRNA from 1 species